ACGCUCGACACCUACGGGAGCAGCAGUCGGGAAUAUUGCGCAAUGGAGGAAACUCUGACGCAGUGACGCCGCGUAUAGGAAGAAGGUCUUCGGAUUGUAAACUAUUGUCGUUAGGGAAGAAAAAGGACAGUACCUAAGGAGGAAGCUCCGGCUAACUACGUGCCAGCAGCCGNGGUAAUCUGAGCGGGCUGGCAAGGC
rnacentral:rRNA from 1 species